CUCCUCCAACUUCUUCACUUCUGUUCUUGAUGUUCUCUACUUGAAAUAUAUGGGGCCAGUACUCAAAGCAUGAGCAGACAUGUCUCACCUGAUAUCAGAAAUUUUCAAUGAAGCCAAGGGGGCAAGAAAAGCAUCCUAGAAGAUCAAAACCUCCUCCUAGGAAAUAGAGAAACAUUUAAGUUGGCUAACUCCCAGCCAAUGCUGAUACCAGAUGGGAAAGAAAAGCAAAGAGCGCAUGCAUAACAAGUAGCUAUGAAGUAGAGGCUCAUCAACCAAGUGUACUAAACAAGAUUUGACAUAAACUCAUCAGAAGCAAACUUACUCCACUAGAGAACCGUUCCUGCCACAUCCCUCUGGGACAGAGAAAUGCCACAAAGGAUCAAAGGAAAACAG